rnacentral:rRNA from 1 species
GACGAACGCUGGCGGCGUGCUUAACACAUGCAAGUCGAACGAAGAGCGACGGAAGCUUGCUUCUAUCAAUCUUAGUGGCGAACGGGUGAGUAACGCGUAAUCAACCUGCCCUUCAGAGGGGGACAACAGUUGGAAACGACUGCUAAUACCGCAUACGAUCUAACCUCGGCAUCGAGGAUAGAUGAAAGGUGGCCUCUACAUGUAAGCUAUCACUGAAGGAGGGGAUUGCGUCUGAUUAGCUAGUUGGAGGGGUAACGGCCCACCAAGGCGAGGAUCAGUAGCCGGUCUGAGAGGAUGAACGGCCACAUUGGGACUGAGACACGGCCCAGACUCCUACGGGAGGCAGCAGUGGGGAAUCUUCCGCAAUGGACGAAAGUCUGACGGAGCAACGCCGCGUGAGUGAUGACGGCCUUCGGGUUGUAAAGGUCUGUUAAUCGGGACGAAAGGCCUUCUUGCGAAUAGUGAGAAGGAUUGACGGUACCGGAAUAGAAAGCCACGGCUAACUACGUG